AGUGAACGCUGGCGGCGUGCCUAAUACAUGCAAGUCGAACGGAGUGGCGCAUGGGUGAGUAAUAUAUAGCUAAUCUGCCCCUUGCUGGAGGACAACAGUUAGAAAUGACUGCUAAUACUCCAUAGCAAGGGAUGAGACUAUAUCGUAUCAGCUAGUCGGUGGGGUAACGGCCUACCGAGGCCAUGACGCGUAACUGGUCUGAGAGGAUGAUCAGUCAAAUUGGAACGGAGACACGAGCGAAACUCCUACGGGAGGCAGCGGAAGGGAAUAUUGCGCAAUGGGGGAAACCCAGACGGAGCAACGCCGCGUAGAGGAUGACACUUUGCGGAGAGUAAACUCCUUUUGUUAGGGAAGCGGUACCUAACGAAUAAGCACCGGCUAACUCCGUGCCAGCAGCCGCGGUAAUUC
rnacentral:rRNA from 1 species